rnacentral:rRNA from 1 species
GGACUACCGGGGUUUCUAAUCCCGUUUGCUCCCCUGGCUUUCGCGCCUCAGCGUCAGUAGAGGUCCAGCGCGCCGCUUUCGCCACCGGUGUUCCUAUGGAUAUCUACGCAUUUCACCGCUCCACCCACAGUUCCGCACGCCCCUACCUCCCUCGAGACAGCCAGUAUCAAAGGCACUUCCACGGUUGAGCCGUGGGCUUUCACCCCUGACUUGACUGCCCGCCUACGCGCCCUUUAAGCCCAGUGAUUCCGAAUAACGUUUGCACGGUUCGUCUUACCGCGGCUGCUGGCAC